GAUGAACGCUAGCGGGAGGCCUAACACAUGCAAGCCGAGCGGUAUAAUUCUUUCGGGAAUUAGAGAGCGGCGCACGGGUGCGGAACACGUGUGCAACCUGCCUUUAUCUGGGGGAUAGCCUUCCGAAAGGGAGAUUAAUACCCCAUAAUAUAUUGACUGGCAUCAGUUAAUAUUGAAAACUCCGGUGGCUAGAGAUGGGCACGCGCAAGAUUAGAUAGUUGGUGAGGUAAGGGCUCACCAAGUCAGUGAUCUUUAGGGGGCCUGAGAGGGUGAUCCCCCACACUGGUACUGAGACACGGACCAGACUCCUACGGGAGGCAGCAGUAAGGAGUAUUGGACACUGGGUGAGAGCCUGAUCCAUCCAUCCCGCGUGAAGGACGACGGCCCUAUGGGUUGUAAACUUCUUUUGUACAGGGAUAAACCUCGAUACGUGUAUCUAGCUGAAGGUACUGUACGAAUAAGCACCGGCUAACUCCGUGCCAGCCGCCGCCGUAAAAC
rnacentral:rRNA from 1 species